UCGCCUACAUGAAGCUGGAGUUACUAGUAAUCGCAGAUCAGAAUGCUGCGGUGAAUGCGUUCCCGGGUCUUGUACACACCGCCCGUCACACCACGGAAGUUGGGGGCGCCCGAAGCCACUUAGCUAACCCUUUUGGGAAGCGAGUGUCGAAGGUGAAAUCAAUAACUGGGGUGAAGUCGUAACAAGGUAAC
rnacentral:rRNA from 1 species